GACGAACGCUGGCGGCGUGCUUAACACAUGCCAGUCGAACGGAAAGGCCCUGCUUUUGUGGGGUGCUCGAGUGGCGAACGGGUGAGUAACACGUGAGUAACCUGCCCUUGACUUUGGGAUAACUUCAGGAAACAGGGGCUAAUACCGGAUAGGAGCUCCUGCUGCACGGUGGGGGUCGGAAAGUUUCGGCGGUUGGGGAUGGACUCGCGGCUUAUCAGCUUGUUGGUGGGGUAGUGGCUUACCAAGGCUUCGACGGGUAGCCGGCCUGAGAGGGUGACCGGGCACCUGGGGACUGAGAUACGGCGCAGUCUCCUACGGGAGGCAGCAGUGGAGAAUAUGGCACAAUGGGCGGAAGCCUGAUGCAGCAACGCCGCGUGCGGGAUGACGGCCUUCGGGGCGUAAACCGCUUUCGACUGUGACGAAGCGUGAGUGACGGUAAUGGGUAAAGAAGCACCGGCUAACUACGUG
rnacentral:rRNA from 1 species